GAAGCCAGCAACUCUCCAGAUGGUGGCCACUCCAUCAGCCUGGGUUCUGGAAUGAGGACAACUCAGACGACAGUCCCAAACCAACUCAAGGGCUCUUCGUUGCCAUAUGGCGUCUCUGGGGGUUUAACACUAGCCACCCCUUAUACCCCACAUAAUGGGAGCUGCUCUCUGCUUUAUACUGCCCGUCGCCCGCUGGAGUUGGAGCCUAAUUUGUGUGGCCAGAUGAGGAAAUCAAGGCACAGAGAGGCAGAGGAACUCCCCCACAGUCACACAGCUGAGGUGGCAGAACCAGAACUGAGAGGCUGGCUCCUGAGUCUAUGCUCUUAACCACUUGCCAUUUGACCCUCUUUGUGCUGGUCACAAAACGAUGCCCAGAACCACAUGGAGGAGUGUUUUGCCUUUAACCAUCUUCUGUCCUGUUGACCACCCUUGUUCAACCUGUUUCCCACUCCCCGAAGGGUAUUUAAUGGCUAAAUGAAUCCCAAUUCAAUAUUAACUAGAAGAGGGGCACCUGAGCCUUCUCCCCUGGAACCUUCCCUUUCUGGUCAGAGUCCCAGUGUUUGUCACAGCAUCUGUGUUUGCAGAAGGUUCAUGGGUGCAGACUCCCCAGCAGGCAGGAUGGGAGGGCACAGCCUCUGGUCUGGGGAAAUUUAUGUCUAAAGGGAGCCGAGGCGGAUGAACUAUUCCGUUUGCUCCUUUUGCUCUCUAUCAAGCACAGUCAGCUAGUGUUUUUUAAACUGUGAGUCGCCACACAUUAGUGAAUCAUGACAACCAUUUAGUGCAUCUCAAAUCACAUUUUAUUUAUAUGAAACUAAUUAAAAUUUAAAAUAUCGUGUGCAUUUUAUGUAGCAUGGUUAAGAAUUGUUUUAGGAAAUUUUGUUUUAGUUGUGUGCACCUGCAUGUGUGUGUGCACACGCACCCUUGGCUACGAUAUAAAAUAUAUUUCUUACUGUGAGUCCAGUCAAAAACGUUAAAGAGCCACAUAGCUAAAUGUUUUUCUCCUCUGCUUUCACAAUACUUGUUUACAGGAGCUUUACAACCCAUGGUUUUUUUUUUUUGCUCGAGUUAAUCUGAAAGUGAGUUUCUAUCAGCCAGUCUACACUGGCCAUGAUGGAACAGAGGAGGGGUGAGGGGUGCUAAGACAGCACACGGAGGGAAGCUGUUGGCCACGGCGCCGGGGUUGCACUCCUCGGCCAUCAAAUGCACCACCCAGAUGAUGACCCAGCGCCUCACCUGCUUAACUGAAGUCACCUGUCCUUCAUUAAAACCUUGAGCCCUGUGAGCAAGUUAAAUUGUUUGAAUUAACACAGCUUGUUGGAGCCAAACUUAAGCUAUAUGUUCAUAGGGCAUAUUUGUCAUUAAAA